AGGGCAAGAGUAGAAGGCCAUAGCAGAAGCACUUAUGGUAUGGCCCUGUCGGAUUCCAGUGAAUCUGCGAAUUCUGCU
rnacentral:ribozyme from 1 species